rnacentral:rRNA from 1 species
AUUGAACGCUGGCGGCAGGCCUAACACAUGCAAGUCGAGCGGAUGAAGGGAGCUUGCUCCUGGAUUCAGCGGCGAACGGGUGGGUAAUGCCUAGGAAUCUGCCUGGUAGUGGGGGAUAACGUCCGGAAACGGGCGCUAAUACCGCAUACGUCCUGAGGGAGAAAGUGGGGGAUCUUCGGACCUCACGCUAUCAGAUGAGCCUAGGUCGGAUUAGCUAGUUGGUGGGGUAAAGGCCUACCAAGGCGACGAUCCGUAACUGGUCUGAGAGGAUGAUCAGUCACACUGGAACUGAGACACGGUCCAGACUCCUACGGGAGGCAGCAGUGGGGAAUAUUGGACAAUGGGCGAAAGCCUGAUCCAGCCAUGCCGCGUGUGUGAAGAAGGUCUUCGGAUUGUAAAGCACUUUAAGUUGGGAGGAAGGGCAGUAAGUUAAUACCUUGCUGUUUUGACGUUACCAACAGAAUAAGCACCGGCUAACUUCGUG